rnacentral:rRNA from 1 species
UACGUAGGGGGCGAGCGUUGUCCGGAUUUACUGGGCGUAAAGAGCGUGUAGGCGGCCACGCAGGUCCGUUGUGAAAACUGGAGGCUCAACCUCCAGACGUCGACGGAAACCGUGUGGCUAGAGUCCGGAAGAGGAGAGUGGAAUUCCUGGUGUAGCGGUGAAAUGCGCAGAUAUCAGGAAGAACACCAAUGGCGAAGGCAGCUCUCUGGGACGGUACUGACGCUGAGACGCGAAAGCGUGGGGAGCGAACAGG